AGAGCGAACGCUGGCGGCGUGCUUAACACAUGCAAGUCGAACGCGCAGCAUUCUGUAGCAAUACAGGGUGUGGGCGCGUGGCGAACGGGUGCGUAACACGUGGAUAACCUUCCUUGAGGUGGGGAAUAACCCAGUGAAAAUUGGGCUAAUACCGCAUAACAUCGCGAUGGCACAUGCUGAUGCGAUCAAAAGGCGCAAGUCGCCACAAGAGGGAUCCGCGGCCGAUUAGCUUGUUGGCGAGGUAAUGGCUCACCAAGGCAAUGAUCGGUA
rnacentral:rRNA from 1 species